rnacentral:rRNA from 1 species
GACGAACGCUGGCGGCGUGCUUAACACAUGCAAGUCGAACGGAAAGGCCCUGCUUUUGUGGGGUGCUCGAGUGGCGAACGGGUGAGUAACACGUGAGUAACCUGCCCCUGACUUUGGGAUAACUUCAGGAAACUGGGGCUAAUACCGGAUAGGAGCUCCUGCUGCAUGGUGGGGGUUGGAAAGUUUCGGCGGUUGGGGAUAGACUCGCGGCUUAUCAGCUGGUUGGUGGGGUAGUGGCUUACCAAGGCUUUGACGGGUAGCCGGCCUGAGAGGGUGACCGGCCACAUUGGGACUGAGAUACGCACCAGACGCCUACGGGAGGCAGCGGUGGGAAAUAUUGCACAAUGGGCGGGAGCCUGAUGCAGCAACGCUGCGUGCGGGAUGACGGCCUUCGGGUUGUAAACCGCUUUCGCAUGUGACGAGGCGUGAGUGACGGUAAUGAGUAAAGAAGCACCGGCUAACUACGUG